rnacentral:rRNA from 1 species
ACGCUGCGGCAGGCUUAAUACAUGCAAGUCGAACGGUAACAGGCCUGGCAACAGGCGCUGACGAGUGGCGCACGGGUGCGUAACACGUAUGCAACCUACCCUGUACUGGGGGAUAACCCUGAGAAAUCGGGGCUAAUACCCCAUGGUAAUAUAGAUGGGCAUCCAUUUAUAUUUAAAGAUUCAUUGGUACGGGAUGGGCAUGCGCCCCAUUAGUUAGUUGGUGAGGUAACGGCUCACCAAGGCAUUGAUGGGUAGGGGUUCUGAGAGGAUUACCCCCCACACUGGUACUGAGACACGGACCAGACUCCUACGGGAGGCAGCAGUAAGGAAUAUUGGGCAAUGGAGGCAACUCUGACCCAGCCAUGCCGCGUGCAGGAAGACUGCCCUAUGGGUUGUAAACUGCUUUUUCAGGGGACUAACCGUGGUUACGUGUAACCAUCUGCAUGUACCCUGAGAAUAAGCAUCGGCUAACUCCGUGCCAGCAGCCGCGGUAAUACGGAGGAUGCGAGCGUUAUCCGGAUUUAUUGGGUUUAAAGGGUGCGUAGGCUGACAUGUAAGUCAGUGGUGAAAGACCCCGGCUUAACCGGGGGGUUGCCAUUGAAACUGUAUGUCUUGAGUGUAAUCGAAGUGGGCGGAAUGAGGGGGUGUAGCGGUGAAAUGCAUAGAUAUUCCUCAGAACACCGAUAGCGAAGGCAGCUCACUAGCUUACAACUGACGCUGAGGCACGAAAGCGUGGGUAUCAAACAGGAUUAGAUACCCUGGUAGUCCACGCUGUAAACGAUGAUCACUAGCUGUUUG